GAGUUUGAUCUUGGCUCAGAUUGAACGCUGGCGGCAUGCCUUACACAUGCAAGUCGAACGGCAGCGCGGACUUCGGUCUGGCGGCGAGUGGCGAACGGGUGAGUAAUACAUCGGAACGUACCCUGUUGUGGGGGAUAACUAGUCGAAAGAUUAGCUAAUACCGCAUACGACCUGAGGGUGAAAGCGGGGGACCGCAAGGCCUCGCGCAGCAGGAGCGGCCGAUGUCUGAUUAGCUAGUUGGUGGGGUAAAGGCCCACCAAGGCGACGAUCAGUAGCUGGUCUGAGAGGACGAUCAGCCACACUGGGACUGAGACACGGCCCAGACUCCUACGGGAGGCAGCAGUGGGGAAUUUUGGACAAUGGGGGCAACCCUGAUCCAGCAAUGCCGCGUGUGUGAAGAAGGCCUUCGGUUGUAAG
rnacentral:rRNA from 1 species